CCUACGGGAGGCAGCAGUGGGGAAUCUUUGGCAAUGGGCGAAAGCCUGACCCAGCAACGCCGCGUGAAGGAAGAAGGCUUUCGGGUUGUAAACUCCCUGUGAUAGGGAAGAGCAGAAGACGGUACCUGCCGAAUAAGCCACGGCCAACUACGUGUCAGCAGGCGCGGUAAUACGUAGGUGGCAAUCGUUGUCCGGACUUACUGGGUGUAAAGGGCGCGUAGCCGGGCUGAUAAGUCAGUUGUGAAAUCCGGGGGCUCAACCCCCGAACUGCAUAUGAAACUGUUGGACUUGAGUAACGGAGGGGGAGGCGGAAUUCCUGGUGUAGCAGUGAAAUGCGUAGAUAUUGGGAGGAACACCAGUGGCGAAGGCGGGCUGCUGGACAUCAACUGACGGUGAGGCACGAAGGCGUGGGGAGCAAAAGGGAUUAGAUACCCCAGUAGUC
rnacentral:rRNA from 1 species